rnacentral:rRNA from 1 species
AUUGAACGCUGGCGGCAGGCCUAACACAUGCAAGUCGAGCGGAUGAAGGGAGCUUGCUCCUGGAUUCAGCGGCGGACGGGUGAGUAAAGCCUAGGAAUCUGCCUUGUAGUGGGGGAUAACGUCCGGAAACGGGCGCUAAUACCGCAUACGUCCUGAGGGAGAAAGUGGGGGAUCUUCGGACCUCACGCUAUCAGAUGAGCCUAGGUCGGAUUAGCUAGUUGGUGGGGUAAAGGCCUACCAAGGCGACGAUCCGUAACUGGUCUGAGAGGAUGAUCAGUCACACUGGAACUGAGACACGGUCCAGACUCCUACGGGAGGCAGCAGUGGGGAAUAUUGGACAAUGGGCGAAAGCCUGAUCCAGCCAUGCCGCGUGUGUGAAGAAGGUCUUCGGAUUGUAAAGCACUUUUAGUUGGGAGGAAGGGAAGUAAGUGAAAACCUUGCUGUUUUGACGGUACCAACAGAAUAAGCACCGGCUAACUUCGUG